GUACUUUUUUUAUUUUCAGAUAAUCAUGGCCAAUAAUUACACCGGGUUUAGUUACGGCGGUACCCAGUACAAUUCGACGGGUACACCGGGCGCAUAUAGUUCCAAUUCAGUUUCGUAUCCGGCUGUAACCAACGCCACUUAUGCCAACGCCGCCGCCUAUCAGUCGGCUGUAGCUGCUGGCAGCGGUAGUUACGCAGCUGGAGGUGCAGCCGGAGCUGCUGCUGCAAGUUAUGCAGGAUACAGUGGCAGUGACUACAGUCGUACGCCAUUACAGGCAUAUGACUCGUCUAAAACAUUUUAUCAACAGGCGGCCUCCAACUACAACACCGCUGCUGCGCCUACUGUCUCUAAGACUCACUACUCGGCUCCGCCGGUUAAAAAUGUGACCCCAAUUGGUACAAAACCUACGGUUGGCAAAGAUAAAAGUGGCGCUGGGGGUCCUGGUAAAUUGCCUGGAACCGCUGUGACUACAGCACCUGGAUCCUAUUCCAACUAUGAUGCUGCACUCUACAGUGCUGCUUCCAUGUAUGUGGCUCAGCAACAACAACCUGGUACUGGUAAUCCAGCCAAGUCUAAUGGUUCCGCAGGUGCUUCUGGAAACUGGCCGCCAUAUCGCAAAGGCGGUCCCGGUGGUCCUGGAAACAAAGUUUCACGUCCAAAACAAGCUCCCAGGCCGCAACAGCUGCACUAUUGCGAGGUUUGUAAAAUAUCUUGCGCUGGACCGCAAACCUAUCGUGAACAUUUGGAAGGACAGAAGCAUAAAAAACGAGAGGCAUCACUUAAAAUGCAAGCUAGUGCACAAACUACCUCGCAGAAUCGAGGCAAUAAUUAUCAUUGCGAACUUUGCGAUGUUACUUGUACCGGCACAGACGCCUACGCCGCUCACGUCCGUGGAGCCAAACAUCAGAAGGUAGUCAAAUUGCACCAAAAAUUAGGAAAGCCGAUUCCAUCGGAGGAACCAAAGAAGAUGUCUAAAAUAAAUUUUGUUCCCGCUGGCGGAUCUGCUGCCGGUACAACAACUAAGGCGGGUGGCGAUGAAGAAGAAAAUCCAGCUGAAAAUGAUAAAAUGGAUGAUAAUGCGGAUGAUGCCAGUAAUCAUGAAAAUACCGACAACAUUAAACCCGUGGGUGGAGAAUUCAUCGAAGAAGUUAAAGAUGAAGAGGGUAAAAUACUUAGUUUCAAUUGCAAGUUGUGCGAUUGCAAAUUCAACGACCCAAAUGCUAAGGAAAUGCACAUGAAGGGACGUCGUCAUCGCUUACAAUACAAACGUAAAGUUCAGCCCGAUUUAGUGGUGGACUUCAAGCCAACACCACGGCAACGUCGUUUAGCUGAAGCCAGGGCUCAACGAGCUCUAAUGAAUUCUCAUCGAGGUCAGAAUUCAAACUUUGGCGAUAAGCAGGCAUAUUGGGGCGAUGAACAACGUCGACGUGCACAGUUCGAUGAUGAGUAUGAUUACAAUAACUGGCUAGCACGCAGUUUUGGAGGUAAUCAACGUGGGUUUGGCGGCCGUAUGGGUAAUGGACCGCCACCAUUCUUUGGCAUGAUUCCUGGUGGUGCUAGCAUUCGCCGUCCGGAAAGUAAUGAUGAUCGUCAUGCCAUCGCACGUCAUGCACAAAUCUAUCCAAAGGAAGAAGAAUUGCAGCUUAUUCAACGCAUUGUUUCUCAUACAGAACGUGCAUUAAAAUAUGUUUCUGACAGCCUUGCUGAAAAUCCCAACGAUAAUGGACCAUCAUCAGCUAAAAAGGAGAAAAACGAUAGUAGUGCAGUUAAAGAUGGUCGUGACAAUCAAAUGCUGUCUUUCCAAAAGGAGGCGGACUCUGGAAAUGUUCGCAUUUUAAAGGGAGUUAUGCGUGUUGGAUUCUUAGCCAAAGGAUUACUCUUGCAAGGAGAUAACGCCGUAGAAUUGGUCGUACUCUGUUCAGAAAAACCUACGGUUGGUCUUUUGAAGGGAGUUGCUGCUGAAUUGCCAGAAAAACUGAAAGAGGUUGCAGCUCUUUUUCACAGGAUGAUUUCAUACUGGCCAUGUUGAGAUUGCUUCUAAACAACCCACAUACCAACCAACUACUAUUAUCGGUUUAAAAUAACACUGUCUCCCAUGUACAUUCUCUAUAAAGGACUUUUAACUGGAUAAAGGACUUUUAACGGUGAAAACCCUGUUGAUUACAAAGUUGAAGUAUUAAUAGACGAAUCAGCAGUUUUAGUACAAGAUGAGGCAGUAUCUGUUAAAAUUUCGUUGACUUCGCCACUAUUGCGUGAAUCUCCGGAUGGUGGAAAAGUUGAAAAUACUUCGGCAAAUAACAGUGGCUCUGGUGAUGCAGCUUUGUUGCCACGAGAACCUUGU
rnacentral:misc_RNA from 1 species